UACGAAGGGGGCUAGCGUUGCUCGGAAUCACUGGGCGUAAAGCGCACGUAGGCGGAUUGUUAAGUCAGGGGUGAAAUCCCGGAGCUCAACUCCAGAACUGCCUUUGAUACUGGCGAUCUCGAGUCCGGGAGAGGUGAGUGGAACUGCGAGUGUAGAGGUGAAAUUCGUAGAUAUUCGCAAGAACACCAGUGGCGAAGGCGGCUCACUGGCCCGGUACUGACGCUGAGGUGCGAAAGCGUGGGGAGCAAACAGG
rnacentral:rRNA from 1 species